rnacentral:rRNA from 1 species
AGAACGAACGCUGGCGGCAUGCCUAACACAUGCAAGUCGAACGAGACCUUCGGGUCUAGUGGCGCACGGGUGCGUAACGCGUGGGAAUCUGCCCUUGGGUUCGGGAUAACAGUUGGAAACGACUGCUAAUACCGGAUGAUGACUUCGGUCCAAAGAUUUAUCGCCCAGGGAUGAGCCCGCGUAGGAUUAGCUAGUUGGUGAGGUAAAGGCUCACCAAGGCGACGAUCUUAGCUGGUCUGAGAGGAUGAUCAGCCACACGUGGGACUAGGAGACACGGGCCCAGACCUCCGUACGGGAGCGAGCGAGGUGGGGAAUACGUUGGAACAAGUGGGACGAAACGCGUAGCUACCGAGACAAGUCGCCGGCGUGGAGUAG